CCUACGGGUGACAGCAGUGAGGAAUAUUGGUCAAUGGCCGGAAGGCUGAACCAGCCAAGCCGCGUGAAGGACGAAGGUGCCAAGCAUUGUAAACUUCUUUUGUCAAGGGACAAAAUCAGGCUCGAGAGCCUGACCGAGGGUACUUGAAGAAAAAGCAUCGGCUAACUCCGUGCCAGCAGCCGCGGUAAUACGGAGGAUGCGAGCGUUAUCCGGAUUUAUUGGGUUUAAAGGUUGCGUAGGCGGACUGUUAAGUCAGCGGUAAAAGCCCGGGGCUCAACCCCGGCGAGCCGUUGAAACUGGCUGUCGUGAGAUGUCGAAAGGUAUGCGGAAUGCGCAGUGUAGCGGUGAAAUGCUUAGAUAUUGCGCAGAACUCCGAUUGCGAAGGCAGCAUACCGGCGGCGAUCUGACGCUGAGGCACGAAAGCGUGGGUAUCGAACAGGAUUAGAUACCCGGGUAGUC
rnacentral:rRNA from 1 species